ACAACACUUGUGAAAGGAAAGGCUUGAGAAGGUAAGGAGUGCUGGGUUGCAAACAUGAUUCUGAUUGGCUGGACAGAAUCAUGAAGGAGGCUCUUUGUUUCCUGGAACAGAAGAAAGAGACAGGAGAUAGUUGCUCUGGGUGAAGAAUCCAGUUGUCAUCCCAAGUCCCAAAGCAAAGUUCUCAUUGAACCUUGGUGGAAAAAAAAUGGUGAAGUCCCUGGGAGUCUCAUUAGUGGUGCUGUACUUCCAACUAGGCUGGGUUACCAGCCAAACUAAAGUAAAGCAGAGUCCACAAUUCUUGCGAGUCCAGGAGGGAGACACAGCCAUCAUCAACUGCAGUUACACGGACAGUAAUUUUGACUACUUCCCCUGGUACUGGCAAGCUCCUGGAAAAGGCCCCACGUUCUUGGUAGCAAUUCGUGUGAGCAAGAAUAUACAGGAGGAGGGAAGACUCACAGUCCAACUGAAUAAAGAUGCCAAAUACUUCUUUCUGCACAUCAAAGAGUCUCAGCCCGAAGACUCAGGCACCUACUUCUGUGCAGCAAGUACACAGUGGUCCCCAGGCACCUGCAGCCUGUGCACAAACCCUACAGCUGGGCUCCAGAUCUGGGGUUUUUUAGUAUAUUCUCUUAUUUGCCAAUGGAAACAUACUUCUAAUGUAACAUAAACUGGGCUUUAUGGUUGUUCCUGAAGUAGAUACA